CCUACGGUGGCAGCAGUGGGGAAUAUUGGACAAUGGGCGAAAGCCUGAUCCAGCCAUGCCGCGUGUGUGAAGAAGGCCUUCGGGUUGUAAAGCACUUUCAGUGGGGAAGAAAGCCUUGGGGCUAAUACCCUCGAGGAAGGACAUCACCCACAGAAGAAGCACCGGCUAACUCCGUGCCAGCAGCCGCGGUAAUACGGAGGGUGCGAGCGUUAAUCGGAAUUACUGGGCGUAAAGCGCGCGUAGGCGGUCUGAUAAGCCGGUUGUGAAAGCCCCGGGCUCAACCUGGGAACGGCAUCCGGAACUGUCAGGCUAGAGUGCAGGAGAGGAAGGUAGAAUUCCCGGUGUAGCGGUGAAAUGCGUAGAGAUCGGGAGGAAUACCAGUGGCGAAGGCGGCCUUCUGGACUGACACUGACGCUGAGGUGCGAAAGCGUGGGUAGCAAACAGGAUUAGAUACCCCUGUAUC
rnacentral:rRNA from 1 species